AUCGGACCACAGUUAGUGUUUGGUUUGACUGUGACCCGGUUCUGAUGUGUUCUAGAUUCCAUCGCAGGAACUUCAUCCCAUGCUAGUGACACUGGUCCUGCUUCCUGCCUGUUUACUCACUCAUCGCCUGAGCGGCUUCAUCCCGUGAAGGUGAUAAGCUGGAGCCCAUCUGGGUGAGAGUUGGGUCAACUGGACCUCGACUCACCAACCUACAAUUUUGAUCCCCAGAUAUUGAAAACAUCCCAAUAUUUGGUUUAGAGAUGAAGUUCUCCUCAGAAACUCACUUUUCUGAUAACAUUAGAUUGGGUAACCUGCUGUUCUCUGGGUUUGGAUACUGGACUACAAACAUCAUUAGGAGCCUUUGUUUGCAGAAAGGAGCAAAACGCAUUGACUCACUUGAAAUGACAUAAUGCUAAGUUUUUCUUUGUGCCAUUCAGAGCUGCAGCGAGUGAGUCAUCGGUGGAAAGAGGGGGGAAGACUUGAGCAGAAACACUGCUGCAAAUGAGCUCGGACAGGAUGACGUCACGCGGUAAUUAAAAGUGCCCUCUGGAAUCCCACGUCCCAUUCCUGCGCUCAGGUUUGUUGGAGGAUUUGUUCGCACACCUGCAGGUUGGUGUGAGAGCAGUAUUUUCACUGGAUGGGGCUCAAGCUUUGAAGGGGGAGAGAAAAAAAGGAGGCAGCGGCAUUACGCCAUCCUCCCCCUCCUAGAAAAGGGCAUUUAAAGAGGUUUCUCGCAGAAAUCCCACAGAACCGAGUCGAGGAGCGCUUGACGCACGUCCACCACCGCCGCGCCGCGCUACCUGGGUCCACGCUCUUCUCCCACAGGCACCAUGGUUCUGGCACAUGACGGACGGACAGUCAGACGUUACCGGAUGUGUUGCUUCCUCUAAAACCCUGUUUUAGACACGUCUCUGCUUCUACAACCCGCAUAUGUCUACAGCCCAUUUCACACGGGACAAGUACUUUUUAUUCAUGCCACCUCUGGACGGGAGCAGAGAGACCUCAGAGGAUGAAAGACCCUCUUCAGACCCAACAGCUGGACUCUCCUGGACCUGCGUGCCGCGGGCGCCGUCGGCCUCGCAGGCUCGAGCGAGCUCCAGCACCGGUUUGCAGAGGCGGUGGGAACGGAACGAGGCCACCGACGGGCCGCAGGAGAACUUUCCGAACCUCUGGUUGCAGC
rnacentral:lncRNA from 1 species